GAAUAGAACCCAGAGAACAAUGGGUUCCUAUCUCUGUUACGCUUUCUGUUACUCUCGUUUAAAUCUCGUUUGUCAGAAUAGGUGCCUUCGUCUGUCGUUUGGAGAGGACACAAACAGAAACGCAGUCAAAAGUUUCUUAAAAUGAAAGAAUUACAGAGUGCAGAGGAUAUAACGUUGGAUAAGGUUAUCAAAAAACAGAUAUGGGAGAAGGCUGCAUUGAAUAUAUGAAUUAUGGUCAGGCUGGAAAAAAUU